GCUCUUCAUAUCUCAAACUCCAAAGACGAAGAAUGGCAUCCGGACAUAGUUGCUAAUACUCACAUGACAGAUAAUCCAGGACUCCAUGACACACCGGGUACUACCGACGGGAACUAAUCAUCAAGGAUUAUAUACCAAUAAGGAUCCGCAACCCAUGACAUUCUUUUCUUAGAGAAAGAAAGUUGCCGAUAAACUCACUUGGCAUCGACGAUUG